GAGUUUGAUCUUGGCUCAGAACGAACGCUGGCGGCAGGCUUAACACAUGCAAGUCGAACGGGCAUAGCAAUAUGUCAGUGGCAGACGGGUGAGUAACGCGUGGGAACGUACCCUUUACUACGGAAUAACGCAUGGAAACGUGUGCUAAUACCGUAUGUGCCCUUCGGGGGAAAGAUUUAUCGGUAAAGGAUCGGCCCGCGUUGGAUUAGCUAGUUGGUGGGGUAAAGGCCUACCAAGGCGACGAUCCAUAGCUGGUCUGAGAGGAUGAUCAGCCACAUUGGGACUGAGACACGGCCCAAACUCCUACGGGAGGCAGCAGUGGGGAAUAUUGGACAAUGGGCGCAAGCCUGAUCCAGCCAUGCCGCGUGAGUGAUGAAGGCCCUAGGGUUGUAAAGCUCUUUCACCGGUGAAGAUAAUGACGGUAACCGGAGAAGAAGCCCCGGCUAACUUCGUGCCAGCCGCCGCAGUAAG
rnacentral:rRNA from 1 species